rnacentral:rRNA from 1 species
GGAUCAAGGAAUCGGUCAUGCCUUGGUAUGUACUGGUUUUAUUGGUUCUCACCUUCUGACGAACCAUGAUGCCAUUAAUUUGAUGUCGUGGAGAAUCAGGACUGUUACUUUGAAAAAAUUAGAGUGUUUAAAGCAGGCAUUAGCUUGAAUACAUUAGCAUGGAAUAAUGAAAUAGGACGUUUGAUCCUAUUUUGUUGGUUUCUAGGAUUGACGUA